UACGGGGGGGGCAAGCGUUGUUCGGAAUUACUGGGCGUAAAGGGUUCGUAGGUGGCCAACUAAGUCAGACGUGAAAUCCCUCAGCUUAACUGGGGAACUGCGUCUGAUACUGGUCUGGCUUGAGUGCAGGAGAGGAACGCGGAAUUCCAGGUGUAGCGGUGAAAUGACGUAGAUAUCAGGAGGAACACCGGUGGCGAAGGCGGGUCUCUGGGCCGAUACUGACGCUGAGGAGCGAAAGCGUGGGGAGCGAACAGG
rnacentral:rRNA from 1 species